rnacentral:lncRNA from 1 species
CCUCAUUCCUGCUGAGCUUAUAUCAGCAUGCCCACCAUCUAAUCUCAGAAAUAAAUGUACAAUCUGGCAUCCCACCCUUAAAAGGUAGCUGACCCGCUGCAGUGCUGACAGCAUGGAAGAAAACACUGAGAUCCAUUAAAUUAAUUCCGUAUUCAUUGUAUGUGACUAAAUAUUAUUUAUCCGAUCUGUGUAUCAAUUUACCAACUCAUACUAUGUUUAUAGCAUCUCAAACAGCUGUUCAAAUUUGAGUUGGUAUGUGUGAAGCACCUGAAUAUCUCAAAAAGCACUGCAAAUAGGUACUAUUCGUCCAAGUAGCAUCUCUUGCAGAUAAGCUGUUUCUAAAAGGCCAUUCUGAAAUAGUUACAUUCUACGAAGUUCUAUCGAAUUUAUAUUUAUGUAAAGCAAGCACAAUUUGUGUGAUAGUUCUUGACUGCUCUUCAGAAAGCUAGAUAUUUAAUUUCAAGCAUAGGUUGCUCUGAAAGUAAUGCCUCCUAUUUAUUUCCAUGGAAACUACAACAGAUGCAAAGAGUACAAUAACACGAGUUGAUAAAGCAAAUUCUCAGUUACAAAACGCCAUCUUUCUACACAGUCACCACCAUUAGCUGUGUAUUUUUGCCAGCAAUGAGCAAGAAGGUUCAGCCUCUACUGCCAUACCACCACCAUCUGCCUCUGACAUUGUGGGCCAACAUCAUAAAAUAGGAUGCAUUACUUUUGGAGCAUCCUUUGCACUUCUGUUUAUUAAAUAUGAAUUAUAUAAACACUGAGUGAUCAAUACAUCAUAGCUUUACUGAGACGUUGAUAUGUGAUCUAAGAGUGGAGAAUAAAACCAUUUUCCUAAUAAUGCCAGCAAAUACAGUAGGAAGGACAGCCCCAUUUGUAAGGACUACUUUUGUUAAUAUAAACUUUACCUCCGUUUAAAGAGUUUGCAUGUUGUCAGUUUAGCUGGAACAGCAAAAUCAUCUUACACCUGGUGCUACAGCCACUUCUGAAAUGGUGAAUAAGAAUAUCCCAUUAAGAUCAGUCUGUUAUCCUACACAUAGCAAGGAGCCCAAAGGGUCUUGGAGCACACUGUACAAACACAGAUAACCCCAUGCAAUUUUACACUGCAGAAAAUCUCCUCAAAAGUACAGAAGUACACAGAAGAUUGAGCAGGCUGUUGUGUACAGUUUGCUACGUCACCAUUCAGUGUUUCUACUGCUGCAAAAAAUGCAAAGUGAUCUCUAAUGACCAGGUUUCUUCUCUAACAGAUUGCUUCUUUAUAUCCUUUAGGAGACGGAAUGGUAGGGGGAUGUAACGGAAUGAACUGCAAACGUAGGUGGUUUGUUGAGCUUUUUUGUUAGUGUUUGUGUAGGGUUCUGAUCCCGGUCUAACUUAAAGAAAAAAAAGAGCAAGAACAUGACAAAGCAGAGCCCCAAAAGGCAUGAAUGUGGCUCUCUGUGGAAAAGCGUGAAAACAAUUGUACCCAUUACAUGCUGGGUUUGGAACUCCGUGCAGCCUAAGCCUAUUGAAAUAUAUAUUUGUAAGCGGGAGUGGUGGGGAGGGAGGAUGCAUCGGAAUGAGGCCUGGAGCUGAAAUGCUGUCGUAAAGGCAGUAGGAGGAGAGAAGGCUAUAAACUGGCUGCCAUCCUCACAUUGAAAAAGGUCCGGAAACAUCUUAAUGCCAAAUGUCACACCUUUCGUUCCUGUUUUUCCUUAGUUUUCCAUUUAAGCAAUUCAAACUUUCCCUAUUUGUGUUACCAGUCUAUGGAAGCUGGGUUAUCUAAAGGCUUUUUGAUUUUGCUCUAUCCUAUCCUGACAAACUCCUGCUCAUUCAACCUUUAUAUGUUAAACUUUUAAUAACCAAUACGACUGCAUCAGUACUAACAAAAAAAAAAAAAAAAAGAAGAAGAAGAAAAAAAAAAGAAUCCCACACAACAGAUUUCUCAGCAUCACCACGGCCUGGGAGAACUUGCUGCAGUGACAGGAGGCAAUUUAUAAGGAAUUAACUCUGACAGUCACUUUAUACAGCUGAUUUUCAAAGAUCUGGGCACUAAAGAAGUGUUAAUGAGGGUACUGAGGCUUCAUAAUUAAUUAUAUUAGCAUCUCUUUGUUGCUCUCUAGAACAGUAGUGCCUGGUUGACAUUUCAAUGGGAAUCUGGUAGUAUUCUUUGUUAUUAUUAUCCAGGAGUACAGUUAUACCUUAGCUCCCAGAGGGCAACGUUGCAUGUAAAUGCCUCUGUGAAUUGCAAGAGUCUUUGGAUCUCAGUAAAAGCCCUUGAAGGAGACCCUGCUGGAUACUGAAUGGAUGUCAGUAAAAUUUCUCUAGUCUGGAGUCUCUCUUCAGAUAUGGACUCUCCUCCCCUUUCAUUUCUCCCUUCCCCCUUCCUUUCCACUGUGCCAGUCCUUCUCACAAGGCUUAAGAACAGCACUUUCUGAAUCUUUAGUUCCAAACCUUUAAAGGAAGGAAUACUGACCUGAACGAAACAGUGAACAGAGAAUAGAACAGUCCUCAGAAAAUAGGGAAUAUUUUUCACACGCUUGAGUUUUCAUUGCAAUAAAACCAGCACUGCCAGAAGGAAUCCCAGAAGUGGUGAGUCAGAUAAUAGACGUACGGCUGUGGUGGGAGGGAAACGGUCUCUACUUUGUUUUACACCCUCCUCAGCUUUCUUUGUAAAGGCAGAUGAAAUUAUUUUCCAGUCGUGCCACUGCAAAAGCAAACACAGAGUUUAAAGGUUAUUUCCUCUGUGUGUUUUUGAGAGUCAUUACUUUUGAAUCCAAAAGGGGAAGGAUGACUUUUUGGCAAUGAUGUCGAAUUCUACUCUGAAAGCUUCUUCUGCAUCACCCGAAGUUCUCUUAUUUUGUACGUCGAUAUCCCACUUGCUUGUGUUAAUUUAAACAAAACUAACAACAGUGUGGUUUUUUCACACCAGCUGAACCGCAGCCUUGCCACAGUAAGGGCACACUGACAAACACAUCUCCUGUGUCAGUGAGAUCGAUGCAACCUGUUCUCACCCUUUCCCCAUUCAUACCUGCCGUUACGCGACCUUGUCUCUUGUGGCAUUCUUUGUGCAUCUGCAGCAGGGAACAGAUCAGAGUAUUAGUCUCAGUUAAAAAUAAGUGUUUUUCUGAGGACUAUUUUUUAAUUGAAAUCAGGUUCCCGAUUCAGUUUAACACGAGGCUGCACAAAAAAACCAGCACUGGCACAAUCCAAGGCCAGCACGAUGGGGAAGAGAGGAGGAAUGUGGGGAGGGGGGGGGAAUGUAUAAGCAGGACCUUCUAGCAGAAAAAUGAGUCAAACAACGUCCUCAAAGACUUCAGAUCCUUCCAAGCCAGAGCCACCUCUUUGCUUUGUGUUCAGACAGCACCUUGCGCAAAGGGAUGGCAGUUACAGGACUCUCAGGACUCUCAGAGCCAUUGUAAUACCCACAAAUAAUAAGCGUUCCUACAGACUGACACAAUUAACCAAAUUCCACUUGCAGAUCUUCAUUGUUGGCAACUCGAGCAGCAUUUUAUGUAGCUGAAGCUGAAGCCUAGCUCUAUUCCUACAUUCUGUCUCUGGCUCUAAUGAGGGAUAACUGGAUAACUCUGGCAUGUAGUUAAUCAAUACAAGAAUUACUUUUCUCACAGAGUUUUUAUAUUUAGCUAGAUUCUUUUACGAGCUUUGACAUUCUCAGAUGAAAAGAAUAAUGUGUACAAUGCAUUGUUAUAGCAAAAACUGUGUAUGACAUCUCUACGCAUUCUCCUCCUUUUUGUUUCACCUCUUCUGUCACUGCACUCCCACAGAAAGCUCAAGACGUGCUGCGGAUGUCUGAGUAACGCCAACUGGAGGCAGCAGGAUUGUAAAUAUCAUACUCACUCUUCACUGAGCAAUAUUCAGUGUAUUUGUUUUAAUCUGAUAUUUCCUGCAUAGAAACAGAGGUUACUUCCCCUGAGAGUUCACGUAUCGAUAGCGCUCUCCGUAACAAGGGAAGUCCUUCGUGAUUCCCACAAAAGCUGCUGCCCCUGGGUAGCAAGACAAUGGAUGGAAUACACUGCGUAAAACUGUGGUCUUUAUGGCUCUUCCUGAGGGCCCAAAUCUGGAAGAACUCAACUUGGUUUAGGACUCAGCAAGAAUUUUCCUUCAUAGGAGUAAGGGGGUGAUAAAUACGAGUUUAGAGAAUUGGCCAUAAAGUACUGGAAAGCAAAUGUUUAUGGAUUCUGUUUGUGGAAAAGGGGUGUGCUUCUUAACUUCCCCGCGAGUGGAAAAGUGAGAGAUGAUUAUCUGAAGCUCUCUGAAGGAAAACCUACAGAAGAAGAAAACAUUUUCUGUGAAACCAUUCUAGCCGUACUGAGCUUGGCUGAAGGCUCCCACAGCCUCAGCACAGAAUGGAUUGGCCCUAAUUCUGUCCUGCAGAACUAGUGAUUGAGUAUCCCUAACGAAAGGGCUGGAAGAUCUGCAGAUCCCAUCUUGAGCUGUGAACUCCUCAGGCUGGAGGAGAUGGAUAUCCACAUCUGGAAGUGGCAGUAGCACAUCUGGACAGGUAGAUACGUCUCUCUGGACAGGGACUCUUAAUUUCACAAUUCCAAAUGUAACUUUAAGAGAAUCUUCCAGUAAGCAUUUUCCCCUUAUAUUCUGGAAGGAACAGAUCGUUUCAGCUCCCUGCACUACUCACAACCCUUCACCUUAUGAGAAAGGAAGAAACAAAACAUUCAUAAGCACUCACAGAUCUGAAGAGCCUACAUCUCAUGUUCAGAAGUGUCUUAGGUCUCACUGACUAAGAAUUUUUAUUUUAUUUUUACAUUGUUUAUAUGUAUAUAUAUGUAUAUGUAUAUGUAUAGGCUGCCUUUUUGUCUCUAGUAUCUGGGAAUGAGAAAAAGUGUCAGAUGACCAUCCAGCUCUUCCUAGAUUACAGGCGAGCACUCUGCUAAGUUAAAAAUGUUGGUUUAGGAAAGAAUAAAAAUGAAGUUUAGCAACUACAUCUAAUGGGAACUUAGCCAAAAACUAAGGGGAAAAAAAAAUCCCAACGGAAUCAUUGGAUUUACUCAAUUAUACGACAUUACUCACUGUGUUGUCUCUGCUACUGAAGCACCAUCCUGCUUCAAAGGCAGUAUUUAAUCCGGCAGUAUUUUCAUCUGAGGGUUCUGACUGCAACAACUGUGAGGACACGUGGAAGAUUCUUCCAUCAUUAUCUAACCACUCAGUGCUAAUGUGAGCGCAGGCUGGGAAGGUCUGUGACUAGUGGAGAUGAAUAAACAGUUGGAGGGGAGGUAUUUGUUUAAUAUAUGUGCCAAACUGUCUUUCCAGGGUCAUGGAGACUCGGCAAUUCCUGGGGGCUGUCAAACUGAUUACACGCAGCAAACCAGCCGGUGUGCCUCUGCCUGCUGCUUAGAGUAAGCACUGAUAUGUCAGUCAGACUUUACUAUCAAGUACGAGCUUAUGUGCGCUUCAAGUGUUGUUCAGCCUUCAACUCCUUGGUGUAUUCAGUCAUUUAAAAACUUUCAUACACUCUAAAAAAAAAUGUUGUCUUGCACUGCACUGCCAGGGGGAUCUUUGUUUCAAAUACAGAGCGUCAGCCUGCAAAGCUUCUGUGGAAGACCAGGCUCCCAGUGUUAAAAUGAUCCUUGUUUUCUAUUUCUAUACAAUAAUUUCUGUGAGAUUCUUCUGGAUGGAGGGCUAUAAAAACGUUAAGCUGCUAUUCAUCACGCUGACUUGCAUGAUUUUAUGUGUGCCCAUUCUGUAUAGCAGGAAUACUUAGUGGGAAAUUUAUUCUUCGCUUUUUCACACACCAUUACAUUGUAUUUGUGAGGAUUUAGCACGUUUUCUGGCUUCGCUCACCAAAUCAAGGGUCCACGUUUAAUAGGUACAGCUGAUGUUACAAAAACUAGGCACAAUUACCAAUUAUGUCUCUGUCUUGUAGUAAUAUAUCUAUCUAAAGAAAGAAACAUUGGGAGAUCUGAACUUCUGCAUCAAAGAGGAGACUGUCUUUAUGAAUAGGCCCUGUUUAUUCCAUUCUUGAGAACAACAAGCAACUACCACUAUACUCUAUGUAAACUGUAAGGCCAUUAAUCACUAUCAGGAGCUGCCAACACCCCCCAGACGUUUACAUAUACACAGAGGAAAACGAACACGAGUUUUCUUCACUUAUCUGAGCGUCACUGCCACCCCGAAGGAUGUGAAGAUCUAACUCCUUUAUUUGACAGCACGGGAGGACUCGGGCACUCAGCUGGAAAGGUACCACAGACAGUCCAGUUUUGUACCUUCAACCAUACAACUUGAAGUUCAGAGAAGAGCAGGAAUACAAACUGUAAUACCAAUGGAAAAAAGCUACUUGUGAUGCAGGCAGCAGAGCUACUUGGAUGGUGUCGUUCAGGAAAAAGAGUGAGCUGUCUAUUAUAUCUGAUAUAAUAUAUACAUAUACAGGAGAAGGGGAGAGGAGGAGGACACCAUAUUCUCCAAACGCAUUAACAUAUCUCUUAUUUCACAGGAUUGUAACUGUACAUUUUAACCCCUCAAUAGUUACUCAAGGACUGAAACUGCCUUAGGUGUUAAUUACAGAUAAUGAAAAACAUUAGGUAGAAGUGAAGGAAAGUGACUGACUAAGUAUUGAUUACAAAAACAAGUUUUUCUAAGUGGGAUGUUUGUUUUUAGUGUUAUCAUGAAAUCAAGCAUAGUCUUAUGUCUGAGCAUCACAUGUAAUUUCUGGAAAACCUUGUGUAACAGCAGAUAACUCAUGUAACAAGGCUCUAUAUCACUAGAUGCCAUUUUCCUUCCUUUUUAAUGAAACUACAUGGGCUUUAGGAUCCUUACAAAGAGGAACAGUUUCAGACUGAGUUGAGAAUUGUGCUGCUUGCUUUUUCACAAAUACUUGAGUCAUGUUCUUCCUGAGCAUAAAUGUUGACAGUGCAGCAAGAACAAACAGUAAAUCAAUUCAGUGGCAACAGCCACUAGGUGCUCUGCUUUCAUCCUUCCUUCUCAACAACUACUCUUACUCAGUGGCUUCGUUUUAUUUCAUUACAUCUCUAUAAAGCAAUGAAGGGAGUGCAGAGAAAGCAUCAUUCCAUGAGUUGCUGUCAAACUGAGCCAAGCCCCAGCAGUAUGUAAGCACCUGUUGUUGGGAGACCUUUUAUGAAUUAUACCCAAAAGUCAGACUGCAGCUGAACUGAAAGUGAGGUUCUCCUUUGAAAAGGCUGUAAAAGCAACUGGUCAGUUUGGGUGAAAGGGUAUACAUCAGUGGAACAGACAAAUCAUACUUCAGGAAUACAUACUGCUUUAUGUGUGGAAGAAGUAGUAGGGAGUAAGCAUAUGUCCCUUUGAUCAUCACAGAACUGGCUUUCAGUUAUACAGCCUACAUUUUCAAAUUGUGGACCUUGAAAGACCAAUCUAUAGAACAGAAUAGUAUAUUACCAGUGAUAAAAAGGGAAAAAAAGCAAACAUACACAGUUGCAUAGUGAAGAGAUUAAAGGAAAACAGAAGAAAGAAAAUCAUGCUGCGUACUUGAGCUUACCUUACCUUGUCUGAGUGUGAAAACAUCCAUAUUAAUCAAUCUCGGGAGAUGCAGACAGAGCACAAGAGAAGCUUUGUUGCUGUGUUGGGUAUCAGGAAGGCCUUGAGACCACCCUCGAGGGGAGAAGUUGAUCAUCUUGCAUUAAGUUGUGAUGCUUUGUUGCUUUGUCUAGCACAGGUGGCAGCUCCUCUCCUGUUUGCAUGGGGAAGCACAGUGCAAACUGUGGUUGUGCCACAGCAGUUGUGGGUGGCAGUGGGAGCAGACGUAGCUGGCAGGAAGUGACAGCAAGGAACACAAAGGAAAAAAACCUUGGGAUUUGGAAGCAAAAGGUGUGAACGGGAAGUGGGAUACUAUAGUGGUGCCUCUGAGGAGGCAGGAGCUGAUCCAGGCCUUGUUGGCUAAGUGCAUUGGAAGGGCAACUUGAGGAGGCGGCCAAGGAAAGGAAAGGGAGGCAGAGAGAAUGUGAGAAUGUUGUGUGACUGGAAAGCAAACCACAAAGGGCAAGUUUCUACUUCAUCAAAGCUGUGUCUGUUUCUUAGCUUGAUCUGCAUCAUGAUAUUCACUUGCGAGUGAUAUGCAGCAUUUUUGGUAGAAAAGAGUGGCUCAGCUGUUACUUUAAGAGCAAAACAGGGCUCACUGUAGCUAUGAGGCUGCACUGAGCUCUUCCACAACAGGUGGAAAGGGACAAAAAGGGUUAUUUAAAGGCCGCUUGCCCUGGUUGCAGUGGCAGGUGUGCUGGCAGACGCUGGGGCUCAGUGACCUUCUAGGGCUGUGCUCCCACUCCAACGGAGUGGGCUGGAUGUGACUGACAGGGCCUCUGUGCCCUCGGAACGUAACGUCUGAACUGCUGUGAGUCAUAUUCCAGCUAGAGGUGGCAGUGCAGAGGCAGCGGCCGCCAUGUCCGAGGGCCACCCCUCAGGCAGUACAGGAGAUGCCGAUGCCGGGCCAGCAGGGCCACCUCAGGCAGUGAGGCUGCUCGGGGCGGCUGCGUCUUAGGAUCGUCGGUCCCAAACACUCACGCAGACAUAUUUCCCCUCCGGGACUUCUGCCGGCCCCUCGUGACGACGUGAUCACCCCGCCACAGACGGCGUCUCCACACGGGCCAGCGGCGGCGCUAAGGAGACGCCCGCGCUUCGAGCGCGGCUCUCACGGUGAAGGUGCGCGGCCACGUGCGCUGGGUGACGGCAACGGCGGCGCGCACGCAUGCGCAUAUCGCCCUCAGCCGCUCCUCACAUGCACACCUGCGCGCGCCGCCGCCCAUCUCAUCCCCCCCGCAUCGCCUCCCUCCUUCCUUCUCUUCUCCCGCCUCUCGCGCCGUCCUCUG